rfam:Dermacoccus nishinomiyaensis strain M25, complete genome.
GGCUUUCUUCGCGGCGGAGCUCGACCGCCCACAGCGCUGAUCGUGGACUACAUCGACGAACACAAGCACGAGUUCGGUGUCGAGCCGAUCUGCGCCACGCUGUCCGCGGCAGGCACACAGAUCGCACCG